UACAGAGGUCUCAAGCGUUGUUCGGAUUCAUUGGGCGUAAAGGGCGCGUAGGCUGCGGGGUAAGUCGGGUGUGAAAUCUCAGAGCUCAACUCUGAAACUGCACUCGAUACUGCUUUGCUUGAGGACUGGAGAGGAGAUUGGAAUUCACGGUGUAGCAGUGAAAUGCGUAGAUAUCGUGAGGAAGACCAGUGGCGAAGGCGGAGCUCUGGACAGUUCCUGACGCUGAGGCGCGAAGGCCAGGGGAGCAAACGGG
rnacentral:rRNA from 1 species